rnacentral:rRNA from 1 species
GACGAACGCUGGCGGCGUGCUUAACACAUGCAAGUCGAACGGUGAAGCUCCAGCUUGCUGGAGUGGAUCAGUGGCGAACGGGUGAGUAACACGUGAGCAACCUGCCCCUGACCCUGGAAUAAGCGCUGGAAACGGCGUCUAAUACUGGAUACGAGAAGGGUCCGCAUGGGCACUUUCUGGAAAGUUUUCCGGUUGGGGAUGGGCUCGCGGCCUAUCAGCUUGUUGGUGAGGUAAUGGCUCACCAAGGCGACGACGGGUAGCCGGCCUGAGAGGGCGACCGGCCACACUGGGACUGAGACACGGCCCAGACUCCUACGGGAGGCAGCAGUGGGGAAUAUUGCACAAUGGGCGAAAGCCUGAUGCAGCGACGCCGCGUGAGGGAUGACGGCCUUCGGGUUGUAAACCUCUUUCAGCAGGGAAGAAGCGAAAGUGACGGUACCUGCAGAAGAAGCACCGGCUAACUACGUG